rnacentral:rRNA from 1 species
UUGAGAGUUUGAUCCUAGCUCAGCCAAAACGCGUGCGGUAUGCCUAAUACAUGCAAGUCGAACGGAAGUUUGAAUUAGAGAGGCUUUGGUUUCAAAGAUUCAAGCUUUAGUGGCGGACGGGUGAGUAACACGUAAGAACCUACCUUUUGGUUGAGGGAUAACAGUUGGAAACAGCUGCUAAUACUUCGUAUGCUGAGAAGUGAAAGAUGGAAAACCCAUCGCCAAGAGACGGGCUUGCGCCUGAUUAGUUAGUUGGUGGGGUAAAGGCCUACCAAGGCAAUGAUCAGUAACUGGUUUGAGAGAACGACCAGUCACAUUGGGACUGAGACACGGCCCAAAUCCCUACGGGGAGCAGCAGUAAGGAAUCUUCCGCAAUGAGCGAAAGCUUGACGGAGCACUACCGCGUGAAGGAUGAAGGCCUGUGGGUUGUAAACUUCUUUUGUCAAGGAUGAAACUAUGACAGUACUUGACGAAUAAGCAUCUACUAACUCUGUGCCAGCAGUAGCGGUAAUACAGGGGAUGCAAGCGUUAGGCGGAAUUAUUGGGCGUAAAGGGUCUUGAGGUGGCUAGCCAAGUCUGCUGUGAAAGUUCAGGGCUUAACCCUGAAUAUGCGGUGUUUCAUCAUUUAUUGGUGAUAUUACUUUUGUGAGGCUUUUGGUCUUAUACGAGUAAGAAACUAGUUAGCUUGAGUACAGUAGGGGUAGAGGGAAUUUUCGGAGAAGCGGUGAAAUGCAUAGAUAUCGAAAAGAACACCAACGGCGAAAGCACUCUACUGGGCUGAUACUGACAUUCACAGACGAAAGCUAGAGGAGCGAAAGGGAUUAGAUACCCCUGUAGUUCUAGCUGUAAACGAUGAACACUAACUAUUGAACGAAUAAAAACGUGCAGUGGUGAAGCUAACGCGAUAAGUGUUCCGCCUGGGGAGUAUGCUCGCAAGGGUGAAACUCAAAGGAAUUGACGGGGGCCCGCACAAGCGGUGGAGCAUGUGGUUUAAUUCGAUGCAACGCGAAGAACCUUACCAGGGCUUGACAUUUUACUUUCGCCUUUGAAAAAAGGCGUUUUUGUUUUUGGCUCAGCCAGAAACAGGGUAUAAACAGGUGGUGCAUGGCUGUCGUCAGCUCGUGCCGUGAGGUGUCGGGUUAAGUCCUUUAACGAGCGCAACCCUUGUCUUUACUUGGUACACAAAGUAAAGAGACUGCCGGUGACAAACCGGAGGAAGGAGAGGAUGACGUCAAGUCAUCAUGCCCCUUACGUCCUGGGCUACACACGUGCUACAAUGGUCGGGACAAUGAGAUGCAACCCUGCGAAGGCAAGCCAACCUCAAAAACCCGAUCUCAGUUCGGAUUGCAGGCUGCAACUCGCCUGCAUGAAGUCGGAAUCGCUAGUAAACGCCAGUCAGCCACAUGGCGUUGAAUAUGUUACCGGGCCUUGUACACACCGCCCGUCACACUAAGGGAAUUGGGUUGGUCCAAAGUAAUUACCUCAACCUUUUAGGAGGGGGAUUAUCACGGCCGGCCUAGUGACUUGAGUGAAGUCGUAACAAGGUAGCCGUUCUGGAAGGAGCGGCUGGAUUACCUCCA